rnacentral:rRNA from 1 species
UACGUAGGUGGCAAGCGUUGUCCGGAUUUAUUGGGUUUAAAGGGUGCGUAGGUGGUCUAUUAAGUCAGUGCUGAAAUAUCCCGGCUUAACCGGGAGGGUGGCAUUGAUACUGAUGGACUUGAGUAGAGUCGAGGUAGGCGGAAUUGACGGUGUAGCGGUGAAAUGCUUAGAUAUCGUCAAGAACACCUAUUGCGAAGGCAGCUUACUAGGCUCAAACUGACACUGAUGCACGAAAGUGUGGGGAUCAAACAGG